AGCGUCAUUUAUUGGGCGUCAUUUAUGGGUAUGAGGUGUAAAUGGCAGUCUU
rnacentral:tRNA from 1 species